GGGAAUAUAACAUUACAGACUGUAGAGUAGUGAAUAUAACAUUACAGACUGUAGAGUAAGUGUAGGGAAUAUAACAUUACAGACUGUAGAGUAGGGAAUAUAACAUUACAGACUGUAGAGUAGUGAAUAUAACAUUACAGACUGUAGAAUACAGUAUGUAGUGAAUAUAACAUUACAGACUGCAGAGUACAGUAUGUAGUGAAUAUAACAUUACAGACUGCAGAGUACAGUAUGUAGGGAAUAUAACAUUACAGACUGUAGAGUAGUGAAUAUAACAUUACAGACUGUAGAGUAGUGAAUAUAACAUUACAGACUGUAGAGUACAGUAUGUAGG
rnacentral:lncRNA from 1 species